rnacentral:rRNA from 1 species
AGGAAAUCAAGAGUAUAUGGUGGAUGCCUAGACUUUAGAAGGCGAUGAAGGACGUAGCAUGGCGACGAUAUGCUUCGGGGAGGUGCCUAGCAACCUUUGAUCCGAAGAUUUCCGAAUGGGGGAACCUAAUUCCGGUAACACGGAAUUGCCUGCGAUCAAUCGCAGAGCGUGCACCCUGGGAAGUGAAACAUCUCAGUACCAGGAGGAAAAUAAACUAAUCAGUAUUCCCUUAGUAGCGGCGAGCGAAAAGGGAGAAGCCCAAACCGGUCGUGCCUCACUGAACGUGAGUCACUUAAAUUAAAAAUUAAAAAUAGAAAAUUAAAAAUUGAUGAGUCCGCCACAGCGGACACAAAAUCUUUUAUCCUUUAUUUUUGAUCUUUGAUUUGGAGCGAUUUCGCGAGUAGCGAGGCGCGACUGGGGUUGUAAGGCAGAGACGUAGUUUACUAGGAAAGUUACAAAAGAUUUUGUUAAGCGAAAUUGCUGGGAAGCAAUGCCACAGAAGGUAAUGGCCCUGUAGCUGAAAAUAAAAUCUCUUUCUUGUCUCUGAUCUUGAGUACCUCGAGGAACGACAGCCUUGAGGGAAUCCGCCGGCACUAACCGGCAAGGCUAAAUACUUCUAGAGAUCGAUAGUGAACUAGUACCGUGAGGGAAAGGUGAAAAGUAGCCCGAUGAGGGCGUUGAAAUAGAACCUGAAACCAUAUACUUACAAGGAGUCGGAACGGAGCAAUCCGCGACGGCGUGCCUAUUGAAGAAUGAGCCAACGAGUUUAUGCUUAUUGCUUGAUUAAUCCGCGAUGGCGGGUAGUCGAAGGGAAACCGAGUAUUAAUAGUGCGUUUUCUUGUUUUUUAAAUCCGAGCUCGUGCUUUCGAGCCUGGAUUUAAGAAACUUGAAAGGUAUUAAGCAUAAGACCCGAAGCCAGGUGAGCUUGCCAUGAGCAGGGUGAACCAAACAGAAAUGUUUGGGGAGGCCCGAACCGAUAAGCCGUGCAAUACUUUCGGAUGACUUGUGGUAAGGAGUGAAAAGCUAAUCGAACCUGGUAAUAGCUGGUUCUCUCCGAAAUAGCUUUAGGGCUAGCGUCUAGCGUAUCUCCCGGGGGUAGAGCACUGGCAGAGUUGAAUAGGGAGCAAUCUCGUCAACUCUAUCAAACUCCGAAUACCGGUGAGUAACUACUAGGCAGUAAGACUACGGGCGCUAAGGUCCGUCGGUCGAAAGGGAAACAGCCCAGACCAUCAUCUAAGGUCCCUAAAUCUACGUUAAGUGUACUUAAGGAGGUGAAAUUUCUCUGACAAUGAGGAUGUUGGCUUAGAAGCAGCCACCAUUCAAAGAAAGCGUAAUAGCUCACUCAUCAAGAGAUUUCGCGCCGCAGAUAAACGGGGCUAAACGUAGUACCGAAGAUAUGGGCUUGUGAACUUCACAGAGGAUGUAAUUAUCCAAAUUUUUUUGGCAAGGAAACGCAACCAGAUUGAUCGUGCAUCGUCGUAAGCCGGGUGGCUAUUUUUCACGACAAUGUCUGCUGGUUUCCUUGCCUCUUCUGUGAAGUUCAUGAGCGGUAGGAGAGUGUUUUGCGCCGCUGAGAAGCCUAGAUGUGAGUCAAAGUGGAGCGCGCAGAAGUAAGAAUGUUGGCACAAGUAACCACAAUCAGGGUGAGAUCCCCUGACACCGAAAGACUAAGGUUUCCUUGGCAAUGGUGAUCAUCCAAGGGUUAGUCGGGCCUAAGGCAAUGGCGAAAGCCGCAGCCGAUGGACACACGGUUAAUAUUCCGUGACUUUCUUUCAAAUCGAAGGAGGGACGGAGUCUAGUAUGUAAAGCGCAUUAUUGGAUUUGCGUUCGUAGGGUAAGGAUGGUUCUUAGGCAAAUCCGGGAACCAGUGCAUGAUCUGCACAAAUCUAAGCCAAGCGAAAAUCCGGCGGGCAACCAAUGGAGAUUUUACAAAGCAGGCUUCCAAGAAAAGCUUCUAAGAUUAUUUGAAGGAAAUCCGUACCACAAACCGACACAGGUAGUCAGCUCGAGAAGAGUAAGGUGAACGAGUGAGAGAUCCUCAAGGAACUCGGCAAAAAAUCGGCCGUAAGUUCGCAAUAAGGCCUGCCCAUCUAGUAUGGGCCGCAGCUAAAGUAUCCCUGGCGACUGUUUAUCAAAAACACAGCUCCCUGCAAACUCGCAAGAGGAAGUAUAGGGGGUGACGCCUGACCAAUGCCAGAAGGUCAAAUAAGUUUGAUGAGAUUAUAUCAAGUUGAGUUUAUAAGCCCUGGUGAAUGUCGGCGAUAACUAUAAUCGUCCUAAGGUAGCGCAAUUCCUUGUCGGGUAAGUUCCGACGUGCACGAAUGGCGUAACGACUGGGGAACUGUCUCGAGGAUUCGCUCGGUGAAAAUACAGUGGGGGUGAAGAUGCCCUCUACCUGCAGUUAGACGAAAAGACCCCAGAAGCUUUACUAUAGCUUGAUAUUGAGUAUACGUUUUUCCUGCGUAGCAUAGGUGGGAGGAUUUGAAGUGAUGAUCUCGGUUGUCAUGGAUCCGACAGUGAAAUACCACUCUUGAACGAUGUAUAUUCUAACCACCGGGGCAAAAACCCGGCGAGACAGUAUCUGGUAGGUAGUUUUAUUGGGGCGAUAUCCUCCUAAACAGUAACGGAGGAGUCUAUUAAGGUUGGCUAGGCGCGAAUGGAAACCGUGCCGAUAGUGUAAUGGCACAAGCCAGCUUGACUGUAAGGCGUGCAUGCCGAGCAGGUGCGAAAGCAGAGCAUAGUGAACCGACGGUUCGUUUUAGACGCGGCCGGAGAUUAACGGAUAAAAGCUACUCUGGGGAUAACAGGCUAGUUGUGCCCAAGCGUCCAUAGCGACGGCACAGUUCGGCACCUCGAUGUCGGCUCAUCUUAUCCUGGGGCUGGAGAAGGUCCCAAGGGUAUGGCUGUUCGCCAUUUAAAAAGAUACGCGAGCUGGGUUCAAACCGUUCAGUGACUAAAAUAAUUUGGUCUUUGAACAGUUUGAACCCGAGGUAAAAGACAUCAUCACGGCGGCCUCGAAGAGUAAUCUUUGAGUGCAAAACCAACUCAUAUCGGUGAAAUCCUAUUGAAUGACAAACUGUCACAUGAUAGGAUAAUACCGAGGGAAGUUGUAUAUGCCAAAAUCUAUUUCGUCAAUUCAAAAAUCUUAUUUAGCUGGUUUUCUAGAUGCUGAUGGAAGCAUUUAUGUGCAAGCAAAAAUAAACAAAACUUAUCGUUUUGGUUAUCAAGUUGCUCCAUAUAUUGUUUUUUAUCAAUCAGCUCAAGAUGCUCAAAAUUUUUCUCAAAUUAGUAAUCUAAUUGGUUGCGGUUAUCAGAGAAAAAGAAAAGAUGGCAUCAUUGAACACAUUAUAGGAAAACAAGAUGAAAUAAUUUAUUUUCUAAAAUUAGUUAAACCUUUUCUCUUAAUGAAAAAGGCACAAGCUAGCUUAAUGGAAAAAAUAAUUAUUUUAAAACAGCAAGUCAAAGAUAAAAAAGAUUUUCAGGAAUUGAUAGAUUUGAUUGAUCGUUUUAGAGAGUUGAAUUACUCAAAGAAACGAAAAAAGCGUGUAUUAACCCCGUAGAGACUAAACGUUGGUUAUCCUUUCAAAAUAGGGAUAAAGGUAUAGUCCAAUGCACUUGGCAACAAGUGGAUAAGCUUAGAUUUUUAGGAGAAUUUAAGCUAGAACAUGCGUGAGACAGGUUGGUCUCCUAUCUACUGCAGGCGUUGACAAUUGAAGAGAUUUGUUUCUAGUACGAGAGGACCGAAAUGAACUGACCUCUGGUCUGGGAGCUGUCGUGCCAACGGCACCGCUCCGCAGCUAAGUCGGGAAUGGAUAACCUCUGAAAGCAUCUAAGAGGGAAGCCAACUCUAAGAUUAAUUGUCGUUAUGAGACUCCUGGGAGAUUACCAGGUUGAUAGGCGCUAGGUGUAAGCAUCGUAAGAUGUUCAGCCGUGGCGUACUAAUUCGUC